GACGAACGCUGGCGGCGUGCCUAAUACAUGCAAGUCGAACGAAGCUGUUUUAACUGGUGCUUGCACCGACUUAAACAACUGAGUGGCGAACGGGUGAGUAACACGUGGGUAACCUGCCCCAAAGCGGGGGAUAACAUUUGGAAACAGAUGCUAAUACCGCAUAACCACAGAAACCACAUGGUUUCUGUGUCAAAGAUGGUUUCGGCUAUCACUUUGGGAUGGACCCGCGGCGUAUUAGCUAGUUGGUAAGGUAAUGGCUUACCAAGGCAAUGUGACGUAGCCGAACUGAGAGGUUGAUCGGCCACAUUGGGACUGAGACACGGCCCAAACUCCUACGGGAGGCAGCAGUAGGGAAUCUUCCACAAUGGACGAAAGUCUGGUGGAGCAACGCCGCGUGAGUGAAGAAGGUUUUCGGAUCGUAAAACUCUGUUGUCAGAGAAGAACGUGUGCGAGAGUAACUGCUCGUGCAGUGACGGUAUCUGGCCAGAAAGCCACGGCUAACUACGUGCCAGCCGCCGCGGUAA
rnacentral:rRNA from 1 species